CUGCCAACAUCUCUUUGUUCCUCCCCGUUCCUCGUUUCGCCGUUUCUGCCACUCCAAACCGAAUAGUGGCUCUCGGUUUGCUGAUCUUAGCAUAUUCAAGGAGCGUGGCUCCAAGCCCCGCCUCGGCGAAUUUAAAUACCCGUUAUUGGAGAACUCCAGUUUCGCCUACCACUCUCAGUUUUGUGAUUUGAAAUCCUAGUAGCCGUACCGAGUUCUUGCGCUCUUGCUAAAUUCCAAGGGUCUAAGGGCCAACCUGUACUACGUGUAUGUGUAUAUUUCGUCUACCUGCUUAGCAAGGUCGCAAGAGAGAAUAAGAUAAUCCACAUUAUUUCGUCGCUUUCCCCCCAGUUUAGUAAACACCAUUUUACUUUCCAACGAAGUCAGCCUUUCCCUGUAACCUUUAGAUAUAUGGAGGAGGAGCACGGAGAACUCUGGGCAAAAGAUUCUAUGCAGUGCGCCAAGUCAGCAUAUAUUAUUAGGCUCUCUAUUAAUUAUUCUAAAACAAAUCUUGUUUUGUGAUGCUGAGUAAUUCAAGUAAGAAAUGGAAACCGACUGUUGUUUUUGGCAUACGUUUGGCAGCUAAUGAUGUACCUGGAUCUCCAUUACCACCUCAGAAUGCCCAUUUGGGUUUCUUGCUUUAGGGCCCGUGUUUGUUAUGGUAUAUAUAUAUAUAUGAACAAGCUUUUAGUAACCAUGUAUCUAUAGCAGAAGGUUGGGAUUCAGCUUCCUUUUUUGGAAUAAUGUGUAUGGGAUAAAAGCGCAAUGUCUCCUGUCAAGGAUGGGUUUGUUGACUACAACAUGGGCCUGUACAUCCUACCAGCCAUCUAUUGUCUUUACAGCUACUAUCAACGGCGAGGGGCUGAGGCUGGGCCUAUCACAGGGGCUCGUUAUCUCUUAAUCUCUUAUCUCUAUUAGGAUUAUCAAGUAGUUGAACGUGGCUCGGCGAUCCCCCGAGUUGGUGUGGCGGUUUAAUUCGUGUACUGGUCCACAAAAGCGUGGGAUGUACCGAUCCCAUUUUUCGGGCUUUUAAGC
rnacentral:sRNA from 1 species